GGCCCCGUAGCUCAGCCAGGAAGAGCGACGGCCUUCGGAGCCGUAGGUCGUGGGUUCAAAUCCCACCGGGGCCG
rnacentral:tRNA from 1 species